AGAGUUUGAUCCUGGCUCAGGAUGAACGCUGGCGGCGUGCCUAAUACAUGCAAGUCGAGCGAUGAGGCUCCUUCGGGAGUACAUCAGCGGCGAACGGGUGAGUAACACGUGGGUGACUUGCCCCGAAGAUGGGGAUAACCUCUGGAAACGGGGGCUAAUACCCAAUGUGCUCGGUGAUUCGGUUCAUCGAGUAAAGCUCCGGCGCUUCGGGAGAGGCCUGCGGCCCAUCAGCUAGUUGGUAGGGUAACGGCCUACCAAGGCAGAGACGGGUAGGGGGCGUGAGAGCGCGGACCCCCACACUGGCACUGAGAUACGGGCCAGACUCCUACGGGAGGCAGCAGUAAGGGAUAUUGCGCAAUGGACGAAAGUCAGACGCAGCGACGCCGCGUGGGCGAUGAAGGCCUUCGGGUUGUAAAGCCCUUUUAUGGGGGAAGAGAAAAAGGACGGUACCCCAUGAAUAAGUCCCGGCUAACUACGUGCCAGCAGCCGCGGUAAAACGUAGGGGACAAGCGUUAUCCGGAUUCACUGGGCGUAAAGAGCGUUGAGGCGGUUCCGUAAGUUGGGCGUGAAAGCUCCGGGCUUAACUCGGAGAUGUCGUUCAAUACUGCGGGGCUUGAGGACAGCAGAGGAAGGUGGAAUUCCCGGUGUAGUGGUGAAAUGCGUAGAUAUCGGGAGGAACACCCGUGGCGAAGGCGGCCUUCUGGGCUGUUCCUGACGCUGAAGGCGAAAGCUAGGGGAGCGAACGGGAUUAGAUACCCCGGUAGUCCUAGCUGUAAACGAUGGAUGCUGGGUGUGGGGGGUGUAAAUUCCCUCUGUGCCGAAGCAAACGCGUUAAGCAUCCCGCCUGGGGACUACGGCCGCAAGGCUAAAACUCAAACGAAUUGACGGGGGCCCGCACAAGCAGCGGAGCGUGUGGUUUAAUUCGAUGCUACACGAAGAACCUUACCUGGGUUUGACAUGCACGUGGUAGGGAACCGAAAGGGGACCGACCUUCGGGAGCGUGCACAGGUGCUGCAUGGCUGUCGUCAGCUCGUGCCGUGAGGUGUCGGGUUAAGUCCCGUAACGAGCGCAACCCUUGCCCUUAGUUACAAGUGUCUAAGGGGACUGCCCGGGACAACUGGGAGGAAGGUGGGGAUGACGUCAAGUCAGCAUGGCCUUUAUAUCCAGGGCUACACACACGCUACAAUGGCCGGUACAAUAGGUUGCGAAGUCGUGAGGCGGAGCCAAUCCUCAAAGCCGGUCUCAGUUCGAAUUGCAGUCUGCAACUCGACUGCAUGAAGCUGGAGUUGCUAGUAAUCGCAGGUCAGCCAUACUGCGGUGAAUACGUUCCCGGGCCUUGUACACACCGCCCGUCACGUCAUGGAAGCUGGCAACGCCUGAAGCCGGUGAGCUAACCCGAAGUACUGCCUUGCGCAGUCCUACGGCAAGUUCGGUAACAAGGUGUAAGUCGUAACAAGGUAACC
rnacentral:rRNA from 1 species